GUGUAAUUACAGGUUUUUGUUCAGCGUUUUCAUGUAAUUAAAUCGAAAGGAAAGCGAGAGCCUGGCCUAGCCUUCUUGGAUGCAAGACACCGUCUUCGGGGUGAAUCAUGUCAGAGCUUUGCACUGGACCUGCAGCCUGGACGCCAGGGACAGGCACACAAAACAUCCCUGUGUCUGGGAGGUACCCUUCUGAAGGAGGCAGGAGACAGACUCCCGCCCCAUCGGUGGCCUCAGAGCUUUCACCGUGACAUCCGAGAGAUUCAAGAAAAGCUCCAGAAACCAGCUCGGUUCUCAAUAACAACGCUCUCUACCCCAGGGCUCUUGGAAAGGCUGGAUCUGAACCAUGCUGCCUGCAUGAUCUCCAUUCCCCACCCUACAUGAAGCUCCAAUACACCCAACCGAAACCCACCCCGCUAGCCGUCCCCGGUACUCAAGGUGUCUGCAGUUCUGAAGCUCCUUUUACUUUUAUUAAUGUAUUUUUAAGGUUGCGAGGCGCGCGCGCGUCCGCA